rnacentral:rRNA from 1 species
GUAGUCCAUGCCGUAAACGAUGUCUACUAGCCGUUGGGGCCUUUGAGGCUUUAGUGGCGCAGCUAACGCGAUAAGUAGACCGCCUGGGGAGUACGGUCGCAAGACUAAAACUCAAAUGAAUUGACGGGGGCCCGCACAAGCGGUGGAGCAUGUGGUUUAAUUCGAUGCAACGCGAAGAACCUUACCUGGUCUUGACAUAGUAAGAACUUUCCAGAGAUGGAUUGGUGCCUUCGGGAACUUACAUACAGGUGCUGCAUGGCUGUCGUCAGCUCGUGUCGUGAGAUGUUGGGUUAAGUCCCGCAACGAGCGCAACCCUUUUCCUUAUUUGCCAGCGGGUUAAGCCGGGAACUUUAAGGAUACUGCCAGUGACAAACUGGAG